rnacentral:lncRNA from 10 species
UAUUGCUUUACCAUGAGACCCAUGGGAGAUAGUGUAGCAAUUCUACCCUGCACCCUGAGGUGGAAGAGAUGAGGACACCAGAGUAUUACCUUCUGAGGGUUGGCUGCAUCCUGCCCUGCCUAGUGCUUCUCUGACAACCACAGCUACUCUCUCCAGGCUCUUCCCUCCCCUUUAAACUGAGGGGAGGUAAUGGCUCCUCUGUGUUGCCAGCCCCCGGAUGCUGCACCAACUCUUCUGGGUCUCCUUAACCCUGCUCACACCCUUGUAAAUGCUCCCUAUAAUAAACUCUCCUCGGUUAUCCCCGUUCAGGGCACCAUCUGUUUCCUUCCAGGACGAGCACUCAUAUAAGUCGACAAUGCAUCUGCAUUCUAGAAAAUAAUUCAGUGUUCCAGACAAGAAUAUUGUUGAUUUUUGAAGAAAUUUCCCAUACCUACACUAAAGGAACACCAAAUUUAUUACUGUAUCAGUGAGACAGCUGUUGUGACAGUAAAGUGAGACCCUUGUAGCAAAAGCACUUUUCGGACUCCAUGAUGUUAGGAAACUGCAAAACACCUUCUUCUGAGUCCAGAGACUGGAAAAUGAACUCUUGUGUGCCCCAGAGGUUACUGACAGACCAAAAUAUCCUGACAACCCCGGAAUGCCAGAAGGAGAGAAGGGGUUUGUAAAUCUGAGGACCUUGACUACUUUUGCUUUGACUUGGGUGACUAUGGAGAACGUGACAUGGGAAGUUAAAAAGCAACAAGAAGUCUUUUAAAAAGUUUGAAUUACAUUGAACAUAUGUCUGAAAUGUAAGAAGGGGUAAGCCCUCUUUCUUACCAUCCUUCCUGACCAUGACCCCUGGGAGUCAGAUAUCCCAGGCACAGCUUAGCUUUCUAACCCUGCUGUGUUGCCCUCCAUGAUCUCUCCGAAUUUCUCUCCCUUUCCUCCCUUUACACUAAAAAUGCUCUAGUUCUGGCCUUCCUCAUCUCGUUAAUAAUUAAGCUGGCUGACUUAACUCCCUGCCUUCUGGUUGCCCUCUUCAAUCUGUCCUUGUCUCUGUCAGCAGCAGCAUCGUCCUGCUCAAAACCACAAAGACCUCCUACUGUGGAAAGACAGGUAUUCAGAAUCCACAUCGCACGUCUAGAUCCCCUGUGAUGUGCCCUGAAACAACCUCCACUGUCUUAGCUUUUACUAACAUCUUCCAUAAUUUCCAGGCCCAGCAGGCCUGAUCUUGUGCUCAACUUCCCCAACUUAGUCUCCUCCUUCUGUCAGAAAUAGCCUUUCUCUAUCUCCACCUGAGAUUAAUGUAUCCUGGAGAGUCUAUCUCUCUUUUCAGUGUCCAUAUCAAGGGCCGGCUCCUCCAGAAAGCCUUUCUAUACCUUCAACCUCCAACCUCAUAUCUCAUCAUUAGAAAAGAUCACGUUCUCAUUAGAAGCCCAAACCUCAGUAUCACAUAAUAUGCCCAUCUAACAAACCUGCACAUGUACACCCUGAACCUAAAAAAAAAUAAAAUAAAACAAAAAAAGAAAAGAAAAUAUACACUGAUGAGAAAAAAAAGGAUCAAAUCCAACUUUAAGUUCCUGAGUCUAACUUUCUAACUUUAUUUUAGUGCCUCCCAGAAUUAUCUGUGUUUGUGUCCACAUUAACCAUUGGCUGGGAUCAUCAUAAGUGAAUCACCAUGUUCCCCAAACCAAAAACUGCCCUGGCACACAGGAAGCUUACGUUAGUGUCUUAGUAUGGCAUAUAUGUAUACACACACUGUACACAUGAACACAUAUCUAUGUGAUGUUUCCAAACAUAGAUAUGUGUUCAUAUCCAAAGACAGUUGUCUUUGAAAGUAAACACAAUAAACUCGGAUAAACUUCUGGAACAUGGGGAUAGGAGGGUGGGAUGAAAGAAAGCAUUUAGUAAAUUUACAUUUCUUUAUGUAUUUCUUGACUCUUAAAAUCAAUAUAUCAUAAUUUAAUAACAUAAUUUAUUAAAAUGAAAAAUAAAAUAAUUCAUGUUAAUUGUAGAAUACAUACAUCUGUAAAGAAGAAUGACAAACAGGAAUAAUUUCCAGAGACUCACAAUCUACAUACAUUCUAUUUAUGUGAUUAGAUCCAUGUUAUUCUUAUGUUUCCUUUUUGCCAGUUAGCAUUGUAUGGAGAGUACUUCUCCAUUUUCUAUCAUUGGGUGUAUGAAUUGUUAACCACUUUGGAAUACUGCAAAUAAUCAUAUAAUGAAUAUACAUAUACUUAAAUCUUUGUGUGCAUUUGUUAUUAUUUACUAGGUUAGAUUCUUAGAAAUAGAACCACUGACUUGAAGGGAAUAUUAUCAUUUAAGGUUUUAAUCCAUGUUGCCAAAAUGUUUGUAAGAAAGUAUCCAUCUCACAAUACCCACAUCAGAACCAGGUAUUACAAUUUUUAAAACCUCCCAAACAUUUUCUUUUUCUUUCUUUUUUUUCUUUUCUUUUUUUUUUGAGACAGAGUCUCACUCCGUUUCUCAGGCUGGAGUACAGUGGCAGUGACUGCAACCUACGCACCCCCCAGGUUCAAGCGAUUCUCCUGCCUCAACCUCACGAGUAGCUGGGAUUACAGGCACCUGCCACCAUGACCCGCUAAUUUUUUUGUGUUUUAACUAGAGACAGAGUUUCACCAUGUUGGCCGGGGUGGUCUUCAACUCCUGAUGUCAAGUGAUGCGCCCACUUCUGCCUCCCAAAAUGCUGGGAUUACAGGCUUGAGCCACAGCGCCCAGCCCUAACAUUUUUUUUUUUAUGGAUUCUCCCUUUGCUUUUAUAAUGAGGGCACCUCUACCCUGAGAUGAAUCAGAUGCAUUAUUGUUUUUUGUCAAUUCUUUUACUACUUCUUCUUUAAUAUUUGAAUUUUUGAUCAAUUUAAAUCAAAUUAGGUAAAUUUUAUGAGGUAAGGGAGGAGACAUUUGCCUUGUUAUAAUUCCUGUAUAUUUAACCAAUCAUCCAUGUCAUAUUUAUUUAAUAAUCCUUCCCCACACUUUAAAUAAUUUGUAGUCUUAUUUUUGUUCUGUGUUUGAAUUACCAUAGCUGUAUAGUAUGAUUUGACAUCUGAUAGGGUAGAUUUCACCUUUUUAAUUAUUUAUUUUAUAUUCUGGGGUCAUUCUCAGCAUUUAUUUUGUCUAAAUGAAACGUAAACAGGCUGUCAAGUUUUCAACACAGAUCCAAGUGGAAUUAAACAUUUUUUUUCUUACGAAUAUUUGGGGACUUCAUUCCUUUCUUCCUUUUUUUUCUCUUCCUCCUCCCCUCCCUCCUUCUCCUCCUUCUUAUUCUAUUCUUCUCUCUCUUUUUCAUUCUCUUCUCCUUCCUUCCCUUCCUUUCCUUCUCAACUUCAUCUUCUUCGUUUCUCCAUCAUUAUCAUUUUCUGUUUAUUGAUUACACUUAAAUAAUAACUAUUUCAUAGAGAAAAUUAAAACUAGACAUAGUGAUCAAAUGUUGACAUGUUGUUUUUUGUGUCAAAUAUUCAAAUAUUUUUAAAUUGACAUCUAAAAGUUUAUAGAAACAGGCACAUUCCUCCACCAGAAUUUCCCUCUACUCUCAAAAGUAACCACCAUUAUAAAAUGCUGCACUGUCAGCAAACCACCAUGGCACAUGUAUACCUAUGUAACAAACCUGCACGUUCUGCACAUGUAUCCCAAAACUUAAAGUAUAACAAUAAUAAUAAUGCUGCACUGUCUUUUUUGUGUUGUUUUGUGCAUUUUUAACCUCUAAUUUCACAGCAUACUUAUUUGUCCAUAACUAUAUAUAUAGUGUUUUGCAUAUUUAAAACUUUUGUACAAAAUGUGUCAGAGUGAACAUGUUCUUUUGCAAUUUCAUUUAUUUUGGUCAACAAUAUGUGACUUUUCUUCAUGAACAUCCUGCAUAUUCCUUGUUUCAUUUAUCCUUGGUUAUUUAGAACAUUUCUUCUAUUUUAAUGCUAACUUCAAUUGACUCAAAUUUUGUUGACGGCUUGUGAGAUCAACCAAAAGCUAAAUGAAAUCAGUCUUCUGUGUGUGUGUUUGUUUUUAAUGCUUUCUAGAUUAGUCUGACAUGCACACCCAAUCGGAAAACACUAGCGCAGAAGAGGGAGAGCCUAAUAUCAGCAUUACCUAGGUAUUAGAAGAAUUUGGAUAUUAUUAUAUACACCUGGCAUGAUAGCUAGGACAGAACCUGUUCUGCCGGGAGAAGGCGCCUGCUCAGGGUUUCUCUUUCCCUACAUGGGAACCCCUGAAGGAGAGUCCUGCCUGUGAUCUUCAUUUAGAAGGCUAGUGCUGACCACUGCUUGGUUCUCAUCAAUCCAUCCUUGAGAUAUCCCCAAUCUCAUCUUAAAUCUGAAUUGAACCUGUCAUAUUAUAGCCUGGCUCUUCUCUCACCAACUAUUUGGGGGUAAUGUAGUGAUUCAUUUUGUUUCCACAUAUUAUUUUAAGUUCUUACUACCUCCUUCCCCCAUCUAGGUUCAGAUUUUCCCCUGCUUUUAACAUCUUGGUCCAGGCAGCUACAUUAUCAAACUGUACUAGGAUGGCAAAAUCAUUUUUUCACAUAUGCUAACCAUCAAUGAUUAGUGGUGAUUUUAUGGAAAAAUAUGUUGAGAAUAAUUUAGAGGAAAGAUUUGGGUUCAGAUAGAACUAUCUGCCAUUGGUAAGUAAAGUAAAGUGAUGUUGUCACUUAUUUUAUCCCAUCCAUGAUGAGAAUUGAUGUUUAUAAAACCUUUGACUAUACAAUGAGAGUAUUAAGCAAAAAACAAGUAACAAAAAUUAAAAAUAAAAUGCUUUUGUAAUCAAGGUCAGAGAGGAUAUUCUUUUACUUUUUCCAUUACAUUAUUCAUGUGUGCAUAAUGGUGUACAGUAUUACUUUCCAUGUGUAAAAAAGAAAUCAUACAAUAGAGUGCAUAGAGAAGUGGAGAAAUGGAGAAUAGUUCUCAAAGUUAUUUGAUCUGGCAGAUUAUCUUCCAAAGAUGAGUGCAACUGUAUUUUCCAUAUCACAGCCUCUUCUGGAAUAUUAAACUCUGCCCCCAUCAAGAGGUGGUGUCUGUGUCUGUUCUUGAAUUUGGGUGGGUCUUCCCGACUGCUUCAACCAAGAGAGUCCAGUAGAAAUGAUACUAUAUGAUUUUGGAGGUUAGAUCAAAAGACUGCCAUGCAUUUUAAUUUUGUUUUUUGAGGGUUGCUGUCUUUUAGAACCCAGCCAACAUACUGUGAUGAAGCCUAAACAACUGUGGAGAGGCUCACGUGGAGAGGAGUCAAUGCCCACUGAUCUAUAAGCCUUGGCUGAGCUCUGAGCCAACAGUCAUGAUCAACUUCCAGCCGUAUAAGUGAACCAUCUUGAAAGAGGCUUCACCAGCACCAAGUUGAGCAACUUGAUUAUGUUACCAAAGAUCACCUCCUUCCUAUCAUCUUCCGUCUGAGACUUGCUUAGAGUGAGUUUGGAAGCUGUGUUUUGCUCAUCCUGAAGACUGAACAUAAGAAAAUAUUGCUCAAGUUCUGGAUGAUGCAGCUGCUGAAAUAAUCUGUGGUGCACUUUCCUUCAGGAAUCCUUACCUAUUUUUUCAGGUGUUCCACAAGCCUUCUUAUCUUGGAAUUCAGUAAUACUUAUUGUGUGGUUGCUUACUGUUCCCUAGGCACCCUGAAGCAUUGAAGCUUUGAAGCUUUGUCUCAUGCUUUCAAGUAAUGUUCUCGUGUUUACCUGCUGAUAUUCCUUCAAAGUUAGAGGCUGCCUCUCUCCAAGUGUGGAAAAAAACAAUCAGAUGUCACUAAGAUAUUGUGUAACAAUUCAUAUUAAACACAUGAUCUUGUCAGUCAAGAAGAAGAGAUUAAAACAAACACCUUGAGAGUUCAUGAGUAGAAGUAUACAGCCCUGCAUUCAUGAUAAUAUGGUGCAUUUUACCUACCUUGCAGCAGAAAGAGAUAUCUAAUUCCAUACACAGCAAUGUAACUGUUUAAAGUGCUCCUAAAAUUCAGACAAAACAAAUUAUAAAUAGUAUCAAGAUCAAAGAAGCUGAAAGUCCCUAUGUUUGAUGUAGGCACAGCAAAGUUUGAUGUAUAUGCUCAUUUCUCAGCACUGCAAGUAUGGAGAAACCAUCAGAAAGCAUGCUGAAAAUAGAGAGGGCUUCUAAAACAGAAAGCUCCUGCCUGUUUUACUGAAGGCUACCAGAUUCUUUCUCAGAAAUUUUGUACAGUUCAGAGGCACAAAUGCUCUUUUAGGUCCUUUGAAGCACUGGGUUUAAUAUCGGAAUUUAAUCUUGGCUCUAGUCUCCAAUUCCUUACAUAGUCAUUCAAGCAAUCUUGGGGACCAAGUCUUCCAAUAGCAUAGUGAUAUUCAUGCCUGAAGUGGGAGGAAUAGAUAUCCUCCUCAUUAACAAGGGAUGAGAGAUCAUGUUUCAUAGGCAAAAUACUCAUGCAUGCAAAAAUGUAACUUUUCCAGUAAUUUUUUUAGUACUGAAAUUAGCUUAGCUCAUUAGCUCUCUCUUCUACCUAGUAGCAGGGAAUGCAGUUUUGCUAACCCAGGUGACUCAUUAUUUCUGUUUUCAAGUUUAGUUUAUUUUAGGUAAAUUUUUGAAUUCAUAAUGUUUUUCUGACCUUUCUUCUCUUCCAGAAGAGGUUAUUCUAACUUCUUAAUGGAUUUACUUUUGUAGUUGUUACUGUUAUAUAUAUAUAAUAG